UGUGUACAACAAUAUGUGAUUAUUAGUUUUAUACGCUCGUGUAAUCGUGUCUCUUAAUUUUUUACUAGGAAAUCAUUUUCCGAAGAGUUAAAAGCGCUCAAAAAAUACCUCGUCCGAGACGCCGUUAUAAAAUAUGAAUUUUUCAAGUUACCCAUCUUCCAAGAAAUUCGAAAAGUCCAGGCGAAAAGACCAGGCGAAACUCGAGGGACCGUUCAAUUAACAUAGGUGUAUAAGUAUUUCGACCCACGACAUUUGGAACGAAAAAUCCUGCCAAUUAAAUAUACGAUUUUUUUUUU